GCUGGGUGUGGUGGCACACGCCUUUAAUCCCAGCACUCAGGAGGCAGAGGCAGGCAGAUUUCUGAGUUCGAGGCCGGCCUGGUCUACAAAGUGAGUUCCAGGACAGCCAGAGCUAUACAAAGAAAUCCUGUCUCGAAAAAUGAAAAAAAUUAAAAAAAAGAGAGAGAGAGAGAGACUUUUUUUUUUUUUUUGGUUUUUUUUUGAGACAGGGUUUCUCUGUGUAGCCCUGGCUGUCCUGGAACUCACUUUGUAGACCAGGCUGGCCUCGAACUCAGAAAUCCGCCUGCCUCUG
rfam:Mus musculus chromosome 4, GRC primary reference assembly.